GACGAACGCUGGCGGCAGGCUUAAGACAUGCAAGUCGAACGCCCUCUUCGGAGGGAGUGGCAGACGGGUGAGUAACGCGUGGGAAUCUACCCAGUACUACGGAACAACAGUUAGAAAUGACUGCUAAUACCGUAUACGCCCUUCGGGGGAAAGAUUUAUCGGUAUUGGAUGAGCCCGCGUUUGAUUAGCUAGUUGGUGUGGUAACGGCGCACCAAGGCGACGAUCAAUAGCUGGUCUGAGAGGACGAUCAGCCACACUGGGACUGAGACACGGCCCAGACUCCUACGGGAGGCAGCAGUCGGGAAUAUUGGACAAUGGGCGCAAGCCUGAUCCAGCCAUGCCGCGUGUGUGAUGAAGGCCCUAGGGUUGUAAAGCACUUUCAACGGGGAAGAUAAUGACGGUACCCGUAGAAGAAGCUCCGGCUAACUUCG
rnacentral:rRNA from 1 species